AAAACAUGAAUGAAGGCAAUCAUCUGCAUGUUAUAAAACAAAAUGGUUAUGAACAAAAUGUAUGAACUGAAAGGAGCAAGCUAUUUUGUAUUUGAGAAACUGAAAAAUGCACGAACAAUUUUUCAGAAGAUAACUGAAAUUUUGUGCAUGCAUUUAGACAGGAAAACAAGGGCUUGUAGUAUACACAUUAAUUAGAACAGGAUCACAAGACACAAAUAUAAGCUAGAAUUGACAAGUACGCAUUAAUUUUAACAUAACAUCACUAGCUCUCCUGUUGUCUGCAUAUUAAACUAUAUUGGAAAAUGCUCAGGAGUGGGAUUUUUGUUGGAAGGGACUUACGAUGGCCACUGACUUGUUCUUGGGGGUUCUUCUGCUUGAACUCCACGCGGAACUCGCCCCUGACAAUAACCAACCAACAAACAACAAGUUCAGAACAACGGUCGCCCGGAAACCACGGGGAAACAGGAAGGUGGUAAACAUAAGGGCAGGUGAAACUAAUAAUUAACAUCACAUGAGAGAAAACAUAGAUUGACUAUAUAAGAACAGUAUAUUCAUUAGCAAAAGAUGCCGCUAGGACCUAUACAGAUUGACUGAACAGUAUAUUCCAACGCAAACACAUGACAACAAAAUCCUCUUCAAUUUAACAUGAGAUAUAUAAUACGCAAGUCACAUCUAGCAACCUGUCUAGACUCUGGACAUUAUUACAUAGAGCAUCCUCUUCAAAUUCCAAUCUUUCUCUUCUUCACAUAUACUCUGUACAACAUAAUAGACAAGCCAAGCAAAAUCUUCUAACUUGGUGGUAACAAGUGUACAUAUUUCAACUUUGAAUGCCUUCAGAUUAAUUAGCAACUACCCAGACGCAAGGAGAGGAGGAGAGCAUACCUCGGUUGCCGUCAACAGCCCAGCCGGGUCCUCUGUUCUACAAAUCUGCAGCUUGUCGCCGAGCUCCACUAGUCAGCCAUGGCACUCAGGAACCAGCUUCUGCUUCAGCCCCAGGCUGCAACAAACGCACACAC
rnacentral:lncRNA from 1 species